GGGCCCGCACAAGCAGAGGAGCAUGUGGCUUAAUUCGAUGCAACGCGAAGAACCUUACCCGGGUUUGACAUGCAGCUGCACGCCCCGUGAAAGCGGGGUUCCUUCGAGGGUGCUGCACAGGUGCUGCAUGGCUGUCGUCAGUUCGUGCCGUGAGGUGUUUGGUUAAGUCCAGCAACGAACGCAACCCCUGUGUCCAGUUGCCAUCAGGUAACGCUGGGGACUCUGGACAGACCGCCCGUUCACGCGGGAGGAAGGUGGGGACGACGUCAAGUCAGUAUGGCCCUUACAUCCGGGGCCGCACACGUGCUACAAUGGCCGGUACAAAGGGAAGCAAUGCCGCGAGGCGGAGCCAAUCCCCAAAACCGGCCCCAGUUCGGAUCGGGGUCUGCAACCCGACCCCGUGAAGCCGGAUUUGCUAGUAACGGCGCAUCAGCUACGGCGCCGUGAAUACGUUCCCGGGCCUU
rnacentral:rRNA from 1 species